rnacentral:rRNA from 1 species
UACGUAGGGUGCAAGCGUUGUCCGGAAUCAUUGGGCGUAAAGCGCGCGUAGGUGGUCCUGUAAGUCCGCUGUGAAAGUCAAAGGCUCAACCUUUGAAAGCCGGUGGAUACUGCGGGACUAGAGUACGGAAGAGGCGAGUGGAAUUCCUGGUGUAGCGGUGGAAUGCGCAGAUAUCAGGAGGAACACCAAUAGCGAAGGCAGCUCGCUGGGACGUUACUGACACUGAGGCGCGAAAGCGUGGGGAGCGAACAGG